UGGGGAAUUUUGGACAAUGGGCGCAAGCCUGAUCCAGCCAUGCCGCGUGUCUGAAGAAGGCCUUCGGGUUGUAAAGGACUUUUGUCAGGGAAGAAAAGGAUAGGGUUAAUACCCCUGUCUGAUGACGGUACCUGAAGAAUAAGCACCGGCUAACUACGUGCCAGCAGCCGCGGUAAUACGUAGGGUGCGAGCGUUAAUCGGAAUUACUGGGCGUAAAGCGGGCGCAGACGGUUACUUAAGCAGGAUGUGAAAUCCCCGGGCUCAACCUGGGAACUGCGUUCUGAACUGGGUGACUCGAGUGUGUCAGAGGGAGGUAGAAUUCCACGUGUAGCAGUGAAAUGCGUAGAGAUGUGGAGGAAUACCGGUGGCGAAGGCAGCCUCCUGGGAUAACACUGACGUUCAUGCCCGAAAGCGUGGGUAGCAAACAGGAUUAGAUACCCUGGUAGUCCACGCCCUAAACGAUGUCGAUUAGCUGUUGGGCAGCUUGACUGCUUAGUAGCGAAGCUAACGCGUGAAAUCGACCGCCUGGGGAGUACGGUCGCAAGAUUA
rnacentral:rRNA from 1 species